GGCUUAACACAUGCAAGUCGAGGGGCAUCAGGAAGAAAGCUUGCUUUCUUUGCUGGCGACCGGCGCACGGGUGAGUAACACGUAUCCAACCUGCCCUUUACUCGGGGAUAGCCUUUCGAAAGAAAGAUUAAUACCCGAUAGCAUAAUGAUUCCGCAUGGUUUCAUUAUUAAAGGAUUCCGGUAAAGGAUGGGGAUGCGUUCCAUUAGGUUGUUGGUGAGGUAACGGCCCACCAAGCCUUCGAUGGAUAGGGGUUCUGAGAGGAAGGUCCCCCACAUUGGAACUGAGACACGGUCCAAACUCCUACGGGAGGCAGCAGUGAGGAAUAUUGGUCAAUGGGCGCUAGCCUGAACCAGCCAAGUAGCGUGAAGGAUGAAGGCUCUAUGGGUCGUAAACUUCUUUUAUAUAAGAAUAAAGUGCAGUAUGUAUACUGUUUUGUAUGUAUUAUAUGAAUAAGGAUCGGCUAACUCCGUGCCAGCAGCCGCGGUAAUACGGAGGAUCCGAGCGUUAUCCGGAUUUAUUGGGUUUAAAGGGAGCGUAGGUGGACUGGUAAGUCAGUUGUGAAAGUUUGCGGCUCAACCGUAAAAUUGCAGUUGAUACUGUCAGUCUUGAGUACAGUAGAGGUGGGCGGAAUUCGUGGUGUAGCGGUGAAAUGCUUAGAUAUCACGAAGAACUCCGAUUGCGAAGGCAGCUCACUGGACUGCAACUGACACUGAUGCUCGAAAGUGUGGGUAUCAAACAGGAUUAGAUACCCUGGUAGUCCACACAGUAAACGAUGAAUACUCGCUGUUUGCGAUAUACAGUAAGCGGCCAAGCGAAAGCAUUAAGUAUUCCACCUGGGGAGUACGCCGGCAACGGUGAAACUCAAAGGAAUUGACGGGGGCCCGCACAAGCGGAGGAACAUGUGGUUUAAUUCGAUGAUACGCGAGGAACCUUACCCGGGCUUAAAUUGCAGUGGAAUGAUGUGGAAACAUGUCAGUGAGCAAUCACCGCUGUGAAGGUGCUGCAUGGUUGUCGUCAGCUCGUGCCGUGAGGUGUCGGCUUAAGUGCCAUAACGAGCGCAACCCUUAUCUUUAGUUACUAACAGGUUAUGCUGAGGACUCUAGAGAGACUGCCGUCGUAAGAUGUGAGGAAGGUGGGGAUGACGUCAAAUCAGCACGGCCCUUACGUCCGGGGCUACACACGUGUUACAAUGGGGGGUACAGAAGGCAGCUAGCGGGUGACCGUAUGCUAAUCCCAAAAUCCUCUCUCAGUUCGGAUCGAAGUCUGCAACCCGACUUCGUGAAGCUGGAUUCGCUAGUAAUCGCGCAUCAGCCACGGCGCGGUGAAUACGUUCCCGGGCCUUGUACACACCGCCCGUCAAGCCAUGGGAGCCGGGGGUACCUGAAGUACGUAACCGCAAGGAUCGUCCUAGGGUAAAACUGGUGACUGGGGCUAAGUCA
rnacentral:rRNA from 1 species